UUCUGGCGGCCAUGUCAUGUGAACCAACAUAAAUGUCCUAGAGUCGAGAGCUCGAGUACAAAUACUUCGAUCACAAACAUAGUUUGUUAUUCUUAACUCUUAACUUCCUAUGAUAAGUUUCUUAUUCUUAAGUCUUCUUGUGGUAAAAGACUGGUUAACACUGUUGUCUUAACAGCAUGCUUGGCAACAAGAGAAUUCUAGCUCACUGCUUGAACUACAAAAAAUGACAAAGCCUAUCCUUAGUGACAUCAUGCACUUUUGGCAACUAAAAACUGGAAGAAGACGAUGAGUUAGCAUUGAAGACAGCGGGCCUCCGAAAAACAUGGCUUCACUAGCUACAGGAGUUUUUCGUAACGAAAAACGUCAAGUACUUCAGACUACAGCGUCAUUCUGUCUCGACGUUCAAGUGCUUCAGUGUAGCAGCUAUCCUAGCUCGGUACGUAGUGAGAUGUUGAGAGACAGGAGGAAACUGGAGACAAAAGACGGCAUGAAAAAUUGAUAAUAUUGCCUCUCAUCAAAAAUUCCACCGCAUUCAAGGAAAAGGAAUUUCUAUCAUAUCGUGCGAUGGCAAACAGCUACACCUCUAAGGUCAUUAUAACCGAAUCCAUUCGCAAUAAGUUGAAAAUGAGUUCUUUGUCCAUUCAUGUAGGUAUAGGAAUUUGAAAUGAAAUAUCUCUAAUCUUAGGACUAAACUGCCGUAAAUCUAUGAUCAAGCUUCAACUGCUUCAACUGCCAGCCAGUUAAGUUUUUUUACACGAUAAGUAAUAUUAUGUUUUACAUUAAGCAACUUUACAUAAUUAUGCAGUUUUUAUUCUAA